rnacentral:rRNA from 1 species
UACGUAGGGCGCAAGCGUUGUCCGGAAUUAUUGGGCGUAAAGAGCUCGUAGGCGGCCUGUUGCGUCCGCUGUGAAAUCCCGGGGCUCAACCCCGGGCCUGCAGUGGAUACGGGCAGACUAGAGGUAGGUAGGGGAGAAUGGAAUUCCCGGUGUAGCGGUGAAAUGCGCAGAUAUCGGGAGGAACACCGGUGGCGAAGGCGGUUCUCUGGGCCUUACCUGACGCUGAGGAGCGAAAGCGUGGGGAGCGAACAGG